rnacentral:rRNA from 1 species
UGGGGAAUAUUGCACAAUGGAGGGAACUCUGAUGCAGCGACGCCGCGUGAGUGAUGAAGGACUUCGUUUCGUAAAACUCUGUUCUAUGGGAAGAAAAGGACUGUACCAUAGGAGAAAGCUCCGGCUAAAUACGUGCCAGCAGCCGCGGUAAUACGUAUGGAGCGAGCGUUGUCCGGAAUUAUUGGGCGUAAAGGGUGCGCAGGCGGCUUUACAAGUUGGCUGUGAAAUAUUGUGGCUCAACCACAAACGUGCAUCCAAAACUGCAAAGCUUGAGUUAAGGAGAGGUAAGUGGAAUUCCUGGUGUAGCGGUGGAAUGCGUAGAUAUCAGGCGGAAUACCGGUGGCGAAGGCGACUUACUGGACUUAAACUGACGCUCAGGCACGAAAGCGUGGGGAGCAAACAGG